AUUGAACGCUGGCGGCAUGCCUUACACAUGCAAGUCGAACGGCAGCACGGGAGCAAUCCUGGUGGCGAGUGGCGAACGGGUGAGUAAUGUAUCGGAACGUGCCCAGUCGUGGGGGAUAACGUAGCGAAAGCUACGCUAAUACCGCAUACGAUCUAUGGAUGAAAGCGGGGGAUCGCAAGACCUCGCGCGAUUGGAGCGGCCGAUAUCAGAUUAGGUAGUUGGUGGGGUAAAGGCUCACCAAGCCGACGAUCUGUAGCUGGUCUGAGAGGACGACCAGCCACGCGGGGACUGAGACACGGCCCAGACUCCUACGGGAGGCAGCAGUGGGGAAUUUUGGACAAUGGGCGCAAGCCUGAUCCAGCAAUGCCGCGUGCAGGAUGAAGGCCUUCGGGUUGUAAACUGCUUUCGUACGGAACGAAACGGCGAGCUCUAAUACAGUUUGCUAAUGACGGUACCGUAAGAAUAAGCACCGGCUAACUACGUGCCAGCAGCCGCCGUAA
rnacentral:rRNA from 1 species